UUGAUUCGAAUAGCCGCUGCUAUUAUUACAGUGGCCGCGGCUUGCCCCAUUCAUCCGGAUCAUGGCCGCGACUUAGAUGGAAAGCCCCGGAUAAUCCGCGGAUUGGUUCGAAUAGCCGCGGCUAUUAUUCAGUGGCCGCGGCUUGCUUCGGACUUAUUAGAGUGCCGAUCCUUUCUUGCCCCGUAGUUCUCGAGCUAGAGAUGUUCAGCUCUCAAGAGUUGUACUGAUGGAUUAAUCACGUCCUACUAAGUCAGCAGAGCCACUUUUUAGAGCAAAACAGAUUCUGUGACAUCAUAAUACGACACGUGACGUCACUUUUGAUCAUGUGAGUUGUCCUACCUUAAAGGAAGCCUAAGUGAUCUAUUAUAGGUAGUAUUUCACGAAUGGUGAUAUUAACAGGAAGGUUUCCAUAUGCUGAUUCAGCAGUUUCGAAUUAUGAACGCCCUCCAUAUUUUUAUUCAUGUCCACAUGACCAUGGUGUACUGUAUAAGCAAGUUUAGAUCUGAUUUUAUGGCUGAGUUAGUGGCUCAUAGUAUGGCUUCAUCGUUUGGAGGAGGCUUGCACAACAUGGGCAAUACAUGCUUUGCAAACUCUGUACUUCAGGGUAUGUUUUAUACAUCUCGUAUACAGAAGGUAUUGUGUGAUGAACGAGUACCACAUGACAUAGUCAGGGAAGUGAACAGUUAUGCAUGGUGUGCACACUUAAAAGCCUGUACGACGAAUGUCAGACGAGAUCCCAAGUUCAUCCCAAGUUCAUCCCUCUGGCAUAUACUCUCAGCUGAAAACCAUGCAGGUAAUCAAGAAGAUGCUCACGAGUUCAUGUUGGCAAUUCUUGACAGAAUAAACAGCCACCUAGUUGUAGACGAGAACAUGACUCAGUCAGCAAUGGAUAAAGUAAUGGCAACUCUCUUAUCGACCACUGGUAUGCUUUAAAUAUUGAUAGUACGUGACUAUACUUGUUCCUUCAGUUAAAUGCAGUGAGUGUGAGCAAGUUUCUACUACAUCUAUGGUUUCUAGCCACAUUCUAAUUGUACGUAAGAAUAAUAAUUAUAGGGAAUUAUAAUGAUCACAGGGAGAAAGUAUAGAGAAGUGCAUUGAAGCUACUUUUAGCGAGGUGCACCUCAGUGGGUGUAAUCAUGUAACAGGUAUAAUUAUUAGAAGAUUAUAAGAGACGUGUGAAAACACAAAACAUUAUCCUUCAGAGUACAAAGGUACACAAUGUAGGAAAUGAGUGUAUCUCACAAGGUGAGAUGGUUGCCUAUCAUAUAAAAACUUUUAUUUACAUACUAUAUGUCAUUAGAAUUGAUACUACAGGGGCGGAUACAGGAAAAACAAAAGGGGGGGGCUAGCUAGAAAGGGGCGAAGCCCCGUAGGAGAGCCGCCCAGGGCAGCCUCGCCGGAGGCGAUUUUUUUCAAGAUUUGACCUUUGAACUUUCAUAUUAAUGAGUAGAAUACGUUGACCUCUGCACUUACUUUUAAUACUAUGGUGAUACUGUACUGAUCAGAUGUACGUACGUAAGUACAGCUAGCUAGCUAGCUAGGUACGUCCAGCUAGCUACCCUAGAUCCUUUAUACUCCUAGUAGCUGUUGUCUAGCAUCUCUCAAGUGAUUUCAAGUGAGUCUACAGAUGCAUAAUUGGUGGUAAAAUUGUUGUAGAGUCAGACUACAACACAUGGUAGUUUUUUCAAAAGGGGGGGGCUUCAGCCCCUCAAAAUCCCUCAAAAUCACCCCUGGAUCCGCCCCUGUACUACUGUGCUGCAAGGAUGUACCUACACUGCAUUAGGGUAUGUAAUGGUGGUAAGUACGUUCAAGAAUCUGAGAUAAAGGGUAACUUGCCUGAUGAAGUGGUGGACGAAGAUUUGAUCAGUAUCCAAUCUUACUUCUCUAAGAAACUCCUGGAUAAAAAAGUUCAAGCAAAGAGAACAGAAUGGAAAGAGAACAGAAUGGAAAUGUGGAGCCAUUACGUCAAAGUGGAACAUGGUUAUGUGUGAUUCAUGUUUUGUCUGGUAUCAUUGGUAAGUUUGGGACCGAAGAAUAAAAAUUAAUGUAGCUACUACAUACAUUUUUAAUAACUAUCUCUUGUAUAGGUCUUGCACUGACAUUGAAGUAGAGAAGAAUACUCCUUCAGAAGAUACAGAUUGGUACUGCAGGAACUGUGCAAAGAAAAUCAGAUUUUUAUAAUAAUAAAUUUUAUUUAAUAUUAAUUUUUGUAGACUACUUUUUACUAUCUAUUCCAUAGCCCUCCAUCUUCUUACCUUCUUCACAGUACACAGUAGACUGGAGUAGUGUAGAUGAGCUAGUACAGUCUCAGUGUGUCAGCAUAUGGAAACCUUCCUGUUAUUAGUCGCUUUCGUCUUUCACUUAGUAUUCGUCUGUAUCGAUCUAAGGCUUGAUCCAACUUAUUAGUAGCCUUAUAAGAAGCUUUCCUCCUUUAAUUUAGUACUGGUAUCAUUGCCAUUGUGCUUAGUAGUAACAGGCCUGAUGGGAUGGGUGAUCACAUCAUGGAGGGCCCAAGGAAACUGCGUGGAAUUGUCGUAUAACAUUUAUAUUGAUGGUUCCCCCAGAUGGUGGUAAGUGUCGGAGGCCUGAGAAACGCUAGUCUAUUGGCUAGGAUGUUGUUAUGGAGUGUUUAUGAGGACAAGUGGCACGGGAUACGUACAUCUAAAGAAACAAGAGUGGAUCUGCGCCAAGCUAGCUAGCUAGAUAGCUGCUCUUUCUAAUGUAUUUCUGUUG